GAAGAGAUGGGGGAAUCUUCAAGUGUUGACAAUUUAUCAUUAAAAUAUGAAUUAUUAAAGAUAUUUGACUUGUAAUGCACCAUAACUGAGUAGAGGCAAGCGAAAACUGCCUUGACUUGCCCUCAAACAACGCUUUCUAACUCUAAAUCUAUUUGGAGUAUAGAUAUCAUUCUUUCACCGUAAGAGACAGCAGGCUUUGGUGAACAGUCAUGGAAAUUUUCAGGUCUCUGUGGAAAUCCAUCAAAAAGAUAUGACGAGAGAAAAAAGUGGUUCAUUUCCAGAGUUUGAAAUCUGAAGAAAUCUGAGCGAAGGACGAAUUUCCUACCCUCAAACAAGUGUAACUCAUCUCAGAACGGUAAUAGGUGAGAAAAAAAUUCUUGAAUUGUGAGCGUCAGGAGUGUCUGAAGAUAUACUGGGACAAGCCUCAUGUUUUAACUUCGCUUCGUUAAGGAUAUAUGACGAUUCGAAUAUGCCUCUCAUUACAGAAAUCAAGCGGUGAUUUUGAACAAACUCUCCAUUGACUUUCUAUGGAGAGUUUUCAGACUUCGUGUUGGUCUGAGGAAAUUUGCCAAAAUUCUAUAAAUCUCACAACAAUGAUUGUGACAUUUUC
ensembl:lncRNA